rnacentral:rRNA from 1 species
CCUACGGGGGGCUGCAGUGGGGAAUAUUGGACAAUGGGGGCAACCCUGAUCCAGCAAUGCCGCGUGUGUGAAGAAGGCCUGCGGGUUGUAAAGCACUUUCAGUAGGGAAGAAAAGCUCGGGGCUAAUACCUCCGGGUCUUGACGUUACCUAAAGAAGAAGCACCGGCUAACUCCGUGCCAGCAGCCGCGGUAAUACGGAGGGUGCGAGCGUUAAUCGGAAGUACGGAGCGGGUAGCGCAAGUCGGAUGUUAAAGCCCUGGGCUUAACCUGGGAACUGCAUUCGAUACUGCCCGGCUAGAGGAUUGGAGAGGGAAGCGGAAUUUCCGGUGUAGCGGUGAAAUGCGUAGAUAUCGGAAGGAACACCAAUGGCGAAGGCAGCUUCCUGGCCCAAUACUGACGCUGAGGUGCGAAAGCGUGGGGAUCAAACAGGAUUAGAUACCCUUGUAGUC